ACCUUCUAACAAGUGCAUAUACUAAAAUUGGAACAAUACAGAAGAUUAGCAUGGCCUCUGCACAAGAAGGACACAUAAUUCAUGAAGCAUUCCAUAAAACCUUU